rnacentral:lncRNA from 1 species
UUUGAUGACAUGGACAAAACGACAAAAUAGUGUUUGGCCAAUUGAAUUUAUAUGAUAUUCAUUUAAAAAAAAAAUCCAGGCUGUAAUCCUUCAACAAACAACUAACUGUCGUCCAUCGAGCCAGGAACUGCCACGUGUCAGUUCUUUUGGACUGUUGUGAAAGGAAAAAAAAAAGAAAAAAAAGUGGUGUGUGUAUAAGUGUGUAACUGUCUUCUCUAACGUAGUAACGCACUCAAACGUCAUUUGCACCUUCUUCCCAACCUUCCUCUGAACGGUUUCAC